UAAGGACCAGUCAUAAGUAUGCUUCA
rnacentral:piRNA from 1 species